CCUUGUAGAAUCGCCACCUGUGCCGUUGCUGUCUUCAUUUCAUAGUUCCCAUUUGGAACUUCAGUCCGUACCAGAAUCCACUGGUAAGCUUCCUGUGCCAUCGCUGUCCUCAUCUCAUGGUGCUCGUGCAGAACCUGGGUCAGAGUUAGGAACAACAUACACACCACCUCUGCCCAUGCUGGCCUCACCUACAAGUACCCGCACUGGACCUGUGAAGACUCGUGGAAGGGUAUUUGUGCUGGACCACAAAUGGUGGACAGCGCCAAUGAAGCAGGCCAUUGACAACUUGCUUAAUAAGCAGUCCACAUAUACAUACAGACUUCCCUGGAAUUCCUGGGAAAUAUAUAUAUUGUCCUUCAAAAGUAUUUUCUUUUUACCAACAUCAGGGGAUGGAAAAAGAAAUGACUUGGAAGGAAUUUCAGAAGUCUUGCUUUUAUGAGCUUGAAAGACAGAUGGGU